UCGCCGAAAGGUGAGUCUCUGAAUGGG
rnacentral:sRNA from 1 species